rnacentral:rRNA from 1 species
AUUGAACGCUGGCGGCAGGCCUAACACAUGCAAGUCGAGCGGCAGCGGGAAGGUAGCUUGCUACUUUUGCCGGCGAGCGGCGGACGGGUGAGUAAUGCCUGGGGAUCUGCCCAGUCGAGGGGGAUAACUACUGGAAACGGUAGCUAAUACCGCAUACGCCCUACGGGGGAAAGCAGGGGACCUUCGGGCCUUGCGCGAUUGAAUGAACCCAGGUGGGAUUAGCUAGUUGGUGAGGUAAUGGCUCACCAAGGCGACGAUCCCUAGCUGGUCUGAGGGGAUGAUCAGCCACACUGGAACUGAGACACGGUCCAGACUCCUACGGGAGGCAGCAGUGGGGAAUAUUGCACAAUGGGGGAAACCCUGAUGCAGCCAUGCCGCGUGUGUGAAGAAGGCCUUCGGGUUGUAAAGCACUUUCAGCGAGGAGGAAAGGUUGGUAGCUAAUAACUGCCAGCUGUGACGUUACUCGCAGAAGAAGCACCGGCUAACUCCGUGCCAGCCGCCGCCGUAACAC